GUGCACCCACAGAAGUCGUCGCCUAGAUACCGCCUGAGCUGCCAGCGUCUGUUUACUCUCCGGCCUGCCAACGGUGUAGUUGACUAUAGGUAUGCGAGUCAACAAGUCGACAGAACUUCACCAUGAAUUAAUUCACAUGCGCGUUAAAGAAGGGGAAACAUUUUCAUGGCGACUAUUGUCUGUAAGCAAGUAGUAACCAUAAAGUCAUAACAUGGCUGCAAGCUGCGUUAGAGUGGACCCACCGUUUGUCGAGUUCAACGAUGUGAAAGUGGGGAAGGUCUACAAAACCAAAGUCACGGCGGCUAAUGUUGGAAAAACGUCGAAGAAAAUAACUUUUGUGAAACCUGCGUUAAAGUUAUUCAAGUUCACACCCCUUACCUCAGUAGAUGUAGUGGCUCCUGGUCUGUCUGUGAGUGGCUUGUUGGAGUUCACUUCAGAGGUAGACGUAGAGAUCAGAGACUGGCUUCUAAUUUAUGUGGAUGAUGUGGAGACCAUUGAAAUCCCACUGCUGGGGUAAGCAAGCAAUUAUAUGACCUUCCGACACAUUUAAAGGUUAUUUAGGAUCAAAAACAUACCAAUGUUCAUGUACACAACUCUCAUCUAGGUUCCCCAGAGCUUGCUCCUUGCUAAUGGACUCAGUAGUAGACUUUGGCUGUGUUGCUGCCUUCAGUCAGAUUAUCAGCAAACAUCACCAUAUAACCAAUCAAGGAUCAGCUCCAGGUAAAUUAAGUGUGUCUUCAGAUACUCUAUGCUCACAUUUGUAUGACAUUUAUUUUCCAAAAUGCAGACUCCAUGACCCAUCAAAUUAAAUGAUUAACGUUGCUGCUGUUGAUGAUUAAAUGCCUCACAAUGUGAUUCCCUUUUUUAAUUUAUUUAAUUCAGUUUUCUGAAAUGAAGCGGGCCUUGGUCUGAUGACACAUAUGCGUUUGUGUGUGUCUGUUUGUGUGUGUGCACUGAAGGUUUGUUCCAGGUGCAGUACAAUGGAAACCCAUCAGUCAGACUGUCACCUUGUAGUGGAGUCAUAGCAGCUGGCGCCACUCAGUGGCUGAAAGUGGAACUGCGCACAGAUAGGCCCAGGAUGAUUGAUGAGAAGGCUCUGUAAGAAAGUCUGCAGAAAACUGUGACCACAGAUAGCAUGUAUUAAAGGGAUAGGACACAAAAUGCAAAGUUACAUAUUUUAAGAAAUUAUCUAAUGAUAUUUUGUCAUUUAAGGAGGGAAUCAUUCUGUCAUUUUACACUGGAAAAUGUACACCUCAGUGGAGAAUUAACCAUUGGUAGUAUUGGUUUUAAGUAACACAUGUAAGCUUCCACCCCACGUGAACCUCCCUCUCCCUUUGUACCAGGGUAAAAUUGCAGAAUUGCUCAGCUGUAGUUCUCAGUAUAAGGGCGGAGGUUGUGGACCAGCGCCUUGAAGUCUUUGACUUGCAGGUAAAUCAGAGCUUCAGUUGGAGUUAUAGCUUACCCCCUCUAAAUUGUGUUCAUGUAAAGACACUGUGCCAUUUUACAGGGGGCUCCAUUGUCCUGUCUGUGGUUUGGACCUGUAUACUUUGGUACAUCCUCAGUGGAGAAUGUUGUUCUGAGAAACAAUGCACCCCAGGCAUGUGACUGGGUCUGUGUGCUCCAGGAUACUGCUGCUGGGACUGAGGUGGUGAGUGACACCCUCAGGUACACCAUGUGUGGCCAGAGGCUAGGCGCACUGAACUGAAAAUGAAACAACAAUACUUUGAAUGUGUUGGCUGUGUAGGGAACAGAUCUCCAGAAGACAACAGAUGCCGCCCUGCUGGAGAGAAUGAAGAGGUGCAGCCCGAACACUCAAGACGCCUCUCGGGUCUUGGUGUGUGACCCCAAACAGGGUCGAUUGGGACCAUAUGACAAAACUACUGUCCGAGUACACUUCAGCCCCAUCUGUAAGAGGUAUAUUGUCUGUGAAUGUGCCUGAAAAAAAUACUUUUUUAUGAGUAUAUACUACUCAUUGGCCUAUAGUUAUAUAUCAAAAUAAUAGGCACUUAGAAAAGCAAAUGCUGUAAUGAAUAAAAUAGUUUUGUGGUAAUUUAUUGUAUAGAAAUGCUAACAAGUUAUAUUUGAUCGUGUACGAUGGUGGGAAAAGUAUGCUACUCCCCGUCGGGGAAUCGAACCCCGGUCUCCCGCGUGACAGGCGGGGAUACUCACCACUAUACUAACGAGGAGCUGGUCGAGGCAGAGAGGAGUGUGGUAGACUUUUAACCUUACCAGUACAGAAUGGUGUGUCUGUCUUUCAGUACAACUGAAGGAAAGAAACAUGGUAUCUCAUCCACCCGGCAAGACUACUGCCUUUUCCUGCUGUUUGAAUCGGUGGGAAGCAGAUACGGCUUCACACAUCAUAAUGGUACUAACAAAAAUCACACACUCUCUCGUCCUAUUGUAUAGUACAAUACAAGCGCUCAGAGGAACAAGGCCGC
ensembl:lncRNA